rnacentral:ncRNA from 2 species
CCAAUAGCGUAUAUUAAAGUUGUUGCAGUUAAAAAGCUCGUAGUUGAAUUUCAGGCCUGGCUGGACGGUCCGCCCUUCGGGUGAGUACUGUCUGUGGUCGGGUCCUACCUUCUGGCGAAGCGUCAUGGCCUUAACCGGCCGUGGCGGGGAACCAGGACUUUUACUGUGAAAAAAUUAGAGUGUUCAAAGCAGGCAAUCGCUUGGAUACAUUAGCAUGGAAUAAUGGAAUAGGACAAUGGUUCUAUUUGUUGGUUUCUAGGACCGUUGUAAUGAUUAAUAGGGAUAGUUGGGGGCAUUAGUAUUCAAUUGUCAGAGGUGAAAUUCUUGGAUUUAUUGAAGACUAACUACUGCGAAAGCAUUUGCCAAGGAUGUUUUCAUUAAUCAAGAACGAAAGUUAGGGGAUCGAAGACGAUCAGAUACCGUCGUAGUCUUAACCAUAAACUAUGCCGACUAGGAAUCGGGCGAUGUUGACAAAAUGACGCGCUCGGCACCUCAUG